rnacentral:rRNA from 1 species
GAUGAACGCUGGCGGCGUGCCUAAUACAUGCAAGUCGAGCGAACGGAUGAGAAGCUUGCUUCUCUGAUGUUAGCGGCGGACGGGUGAGUAACACGUGGAUAACCUACCUAUAAGACUGGGAUAACUUCGGGAAACCGGAGCUAAUACCGGAUAAUAUUUUGAACCUCAUGGUUCAAAAGUGAAAGACGGUCUUGCUGUCACUUAUAGAUGGAUCCGCGCUGCAUUAGCUAGUUGGUAAGGUAACGGCUUACCAAGGCAACGAUGCAUAGCCGACCUGAGAGGGUGAUCGGCCACACUGGAACUGAGACACGGUCCAGACUCCUACGGGAGGCAGCAGUAGGGAAUCUUCCGCAAUGGGCGAAAGCCUGACGGAGCAACGCCGCGUGAGUGAUGAAGGUCUUCGGAUCGUAAAACUCUGUUAUUAGGGAAGAACAUAUGUGUAAGUAACUGUGCACAUCUUGACGGUACCUAAUCAGAAAGCCACGGCUAACUACGUG